AGGGAUAGAAGUGGGUGCGGGGGAGAAAGACCUCAGAUGGAGGACACAAGGAGAUUUGUGUUCCUGGAAUAUCCAGGUACCAGUGAAGACUUCCAGGACAAAUUAGUAAUGGACUAGUUCAUAAAAGCUCAGUUAAACUUCAGUUUGCAGCUGAAGAUCAGCUAAAGGAGACCAAGGAUACUUUUUGAGUCUGUGGAAUUUGCCACAGACUCUUUGAAGCAGCUCACCAGAAAAGAAAGUAGCCACUAAUGGGGAAGGUGGAAGCUGAUCACCAUGAGCUGUAUACUAGUGCUCACAGAUUGGCAGUCGUAAUGACCACAAGAAUAUAAGGACUAUCUUUGAAGGUGCCAGGGGAACAGAAUUUUAGUUUGGCUGUCCCAGAGACUGAGUGUGCAGUUGUAGAAGCUGAGGCUGGAAGAAUUGUGACACUCAUGAAUACACCAUGAGGAUAGAAUGUGAGAAGUCUGUCGCAACUUAGCUACUCCACAGAAAUUCUCCCAAAAUGCGGAGUCUCAGUCAGAACCGGGCAAAUGGGCCAAGCGAGCAGUGGUGUGAAUCUGGAGGUCUUAGGUGGUGAGGCCAUCAUGAACUGCCAUAGAUGGAGGGGCAUGCUCUGGGACUAGCUGAUGCCCCUUUUACGCUCUUCGUAACCUGGGAGCAGGCACCGGCUGCAAUUAUUCUUUGUUCAUCUUGGAGAAAAUGGUGUGGGAACGCAUAAUGGGUUGAAUUUAUUAUCAGAGUUAGGAGGGAUUUGGGGCAGAUCCAAGAAUUUUUCCCUGGGGAGACAAUUAUUUGGUCUGAUGUUGCGGCCUGGGGUGUGACACAGGACUGGGAAGCCUCCAUGGGUCAAUAUGAUCAGGAGGUGUGAAUAGGAAAAUAGCUAAAUUAAUAUUGUGAUGUGGGGCCAGAAAGGGCUAAACAAAUAGCUCGGAACCAAAUUCAACCUUCAGAGACAUGUUAGAAAAAUAUGUAAAUGGUAAUUAGGGCUAUUCCUUAGAAAUAGUUAACAUAGCUAUGUUAAAUGGACUAGAGCUUUGAAAUGCAAAUGUGUAUUAUUAGAGAAUUAGAGGUAAUGCUAAGUGUAUGUGUUUACUUAUAUCUCGUUAGAUGUUAGCCAUGUAAACAGACAGUUCCUGUCUAUUAUAUAGCUAUUGAUUCAGAGACCAAAAGGAAAUAUUGACAUUUAGAUGAAAUUGUAUGUGAUAAUGUCAUUGUCUAUAUUUUACUUGGAAGUUUGUAUAAAUAGUCUAUAAACUGCUUAAUGGAUAAUUAUCUGAUGAAUGCAGCUAGUUACUUGGGUAUGCAUACACGAAAGGUAGUUCUACUUCAAAGCUGCUGUUCUUCGCCCAAGGAACCCCUGCUGUAAAGACGCUAUCAUAGUCUGCCAGAAAACUGUAUAAAAUCUCUUGGGACCUCUCUCUUUCGUCUCAGAUCUGCUUGAGCUUAAUUCAGGGGAAGCUUGAGUUAUAAGACUGAGAUUUCCAGUCCCAUCUGGCUCACCCUGGAUAUGAACAUUGGACUAUAACCUAUGAACUAAUUCUGAAAGAACUCUUUGCAGCGCCAAAGCUCCCCAUCUCUACUAUAAAACUGAUCUCAGAACUACAGUCAUGUCUGUGUGUAUACUGAUCUUCUAACCAAUACUCUCUUUUCUUUUUUAAUAAAUUUUAGUUUAGUUAAUAAGAAUUGGCUGU